CCUUUGUACACACCGCCUGUCGCUACUACCGAUUGGGCGACUUAGUGAGCACUUGGGAUUGGCGUUCGGGAGCCGGCAACGGCACCUGAUUGCCGAGAACUUGUGCAAACUUGGCCGUCUAGAGG
rnacentral:rRNA from 1 species